rnacentral:rRNA from 1 species
CCUACGGGUGGCAGCAGUGGGGAAUCUUGCACAAUGGGGGAAACUCUGAUGCAGCGACGCCGCGUGAGUGAAGAAGUAUUUCGGAAUGUAAAGCUCUAUCAGCAGGGAAGAAAAUGACGGUACCUGGUUAAGAAGCACCGGCUAACUACGUGCCCGGAGCCGCGGUAAUACGUAGGGGGCAAGCGGUAUUCGGAUUCACUGGGUGCAAAGGGAGCGUAGACGGCAGCAAAAGACCGGAGGGAAAUGCCGGGGCUUAAACCCGGAUCUGCUUUGGAAACUGUGCAGCUAGAGUGCAGGAGAGGUGAGUGGAAUUCCAAGUGUAGCGGUGAAAUGCGUAGAUAUUAGGAGGAACACCAGUGGCGAAGGCGGCUUACUGGACUGUAACUGACGUUGAGGCUCGAAAGCGUGGGGAGCAAACAGGAUUAGAUACCCUUGUAGUC